rnacentral:misc_RNA from 1 species
AGCUAGAAGACUAAAGAAAAAUAAAGGACACUCCUUUCACAAGCCAUUUAGUGCACCAACACCUGUUUUCCAUGUCAACAAUAUCUGUGGUAUUACAAGUUCUGAAUCUCUGAUCAUUGUUGUAAACUGAGUGAUAUUACAACCCAGUUCAAAAGAAAGGGUGUUCUUGUAGUUAUAAUGAAUCUCGAUCCAAUUUCAAUUCUCCAACUCUAAUGGACCAAUUCAAGCAAAACAAGGUUUACCAGCUCCAAACAUACCAGACUUUAUUGAACUCCCAAUCUUUUCUCUGCCAUUUAAGUUUUAAUUGCCAUAAAAAAGAAUGAAAAGCAAGAGAUGACCAAAAAAGCAAGAUUAGAAAAGAACAAUCCAUUCAUGUACAAAACUACA